UACGUAGGGGGCUAGCGUUGUCCGGAAUCAUUGGGCGUAAAUCGCGUGUAGGCGGUCCGGUAAGUCCGCUGUGAAAGUCGAGGGCUCAACCCUCGAAUGCCGGUGGAUACUGUCGGGCUAGAGUGCGGAAGAGGCGAGUGGAAUUCCUGGUGUAGCGGUGAAAUGCGCAGAUAUCAGGAGGAACACCUAUUGCGAAGGCAGCUCGCUGGGACGUUACUGACGCUGAGACGCGAAAGCGUGGGGAGCAAACAGG
rnacentral:rRNA from 1 species